AAAAACUUAAUCCAUUUCGUAAAAGUUUAACCAUCCGGCAGGAAAGUAAUUUUAAUAUAAUAAGUGGAUGCGACUGUGACUGAUGAGAGAGAUUCUCUCUUUCUUCUUCAAACGGAGUUCCGACCGGCCAAAAUCCCAACUUGGAAAUGCCCUGUUCUUUGCAAAGUUGUCAUCUUUGGAUCCUUGUUCUUUGCAAAAAGCUUUAACCGAUCGGUUUCUAGGGUUUUUCUGUUUGGCUUCUGAGAAAAUCCAGUCUCAAGUUUUGUGCUUCACUGUACUCAGAAUUGCUAAUAACUAGUGAAUUUCAACCUCUUUGUUUUGGUUUUCGGCAUGACCCCGAUUUCAGGACAGAUCUAUGAUCUAACUGUUAAUGAACUGCACUGUUGGAUUUUGAUUGUGCAUAAUUUGUGCUGUUGUGGGAAUCUAUGCAGGAUUUGGUUUUGCAAGUGAGUCAAUUUCCUGCUAAGAUGUUUCGGUAGCUUCUGAAUUAUCUGCAUUGCAAGUAUUAGUGCCUAGUAUGGAGUACACAUUUCAAUUUCCUAAGCUAUGCAAUAUAGAACCCCGGAGUCGGAGAUGGCUUUUUCUUCUCGGGGUAGUGUCUGUUACUUAUUUAUCGAUUCAGUCGCUUUUGCUUCCCUAUGGCAUUGCUCUUCGGUCUCUAUCGCCUCACAGUGAGGUUCCAGCACAAGUCAAAGGUAGCGGCCUCCCUGUUCAUUCUUCUGCCAAGUCCAUGAUGGUUCGCAAUCGUCUCAUGGUAAAUUCUUCGGAUUCGAUUGAUGUUUCUAUGUUUGGAGGGAAAAUUAGGCAGGGUACUAAACCAAAUGGAAAGGAUGUAUCUAGGGAAAUCGAUUUAAUGUUAGAAGAAAAAGAAAUAGACAAUGAUUUUGAAAGUGACACUGAUCGAAAGGUAGAUGAUGAUUUCCCGUCUGAGAAUGUUGUAGUCAUAAAUGAAAGUCUCAGCAUUAAGAAUCGAGAAACUGUUACUAUUUUGGAUAAGGCUGAUGGAACUAGGGAUGGCUUCCAUUUGGAGAAGAUUGUGUUGCCGAACUCUGAAAUUACUAGGGAGAAUGCUUCAAAACAAAAUUCAACCGUGACAGCAAAAAAAUCUGAUGGUGUCAAAACUGCUUUUCCAUCAUAUCCACUCAUUUUACCUGCAGUGAAUUUGUUAGAAAAUAGAAGCACUUCCAUUGGUUCUACUUCCUUGAAAAGUGGUGUUGUGGCUUCAAAAAAUGGUUCUGUAGUGACGACAAGACCUGGGAAGAAGAAGAUGAGGUGUGAAUUGCCACCAAAGUCGAUAACAUCAAUAUCUGAGAUGAAUCGUAUACUAGCGCGGAAGCGCGUUUCUUCUCUUUCACCGAAACCACGAUGGUCCUCUGUACGUGACCAGGAGAUUCUAGCUGCGAAGUCACAGAUCGAGCAUCCUCCUAUUGCAAUAAAUGAUCCAGAACUUUAUGCUCCUCUCUUUAGAAAUGUUUCCAUGUUUAAAAGGAGUUAUGAACUUAUGGAACGAACGCUGAAAAUCUAUAUCUACAAGGACGGAAACAAGCCGAUCUUUCAUCAACCAAUACUCAAGGGUUUAUAUGCUUCAGAAGGAUGGUUCAUGAAACUGAUGCAGGGAUAUAAGCGUUUUCUUGUGAAGGAUCCUAGCAAGGCUCAUCUUUUUUAUAUGCCAUUUAGUUCCCGGAUGCUAGAGUAUGCUCUAUAUGUACGUAACUCUCACAACCGUACAAACCUACGCCAAUUUCUGAAGGAAUAUUCCGAAACAAUUGCAGCAAAGUAUCCUUAUUUUAACAGAACUGAUGGGGCAGAUCAUUUUUUUGUUGCUUGCCAUGACUGGGCUCCAUAUGAAACAAGGCACCACAUGGAGCGCUGCAUCAAAGCGCUUUGCAAUGCUGAUCCGACUUCCGGCUUCAAAAUAGGAAGGGAUGUGUCUCUUCCAGAGACAUAUGUUCGUUCAGAGAGAAAUCCCCUUGUAGAUCUUGGAGGAAAACCUCCUUCUCAAAGGAAGAUCCUUGCCUUUUUUGCUGGAAAUAUGCAUGGCUACUUACGUCCAAUUCUGCUAGAGUACUGGAAGGACAAAGCCCCCGAUAUGAAGAUUUUUGGCUCGAUGCCUCCCGGUGUUGCAAGAAAAUUGAAUUACAUCCACCACAUGCAGAGCAGCAAAUACUGUAUCUGCCCCAAGGGUUAUGAGGUCAACAGUCCACGAGUGGUCGAAGCAAUAUUUUAUGAGUGCGUACCUGUGAUCAUAUCUGACAACUUUGUGCCGCCAUUUUUCGAGGUUUUGGAUUGGGGGGCAUUCUCUGUGAUUCUUGCAGAGCAAGACAUUCCAAAGUUGAAGGAGAUACUAGUUUCGAUACCAGAAGAGAAGUAUCUUCAGCUGCAGCUAGGGGUCAGGAAGGUUCAGAAACAUUUUCUGUGGCAUGCUAAACCCCUCAAGUAUGAUCUCUUCCACAUGACACUUCAUUCGAUUUGGUACAACCGAGUUUUUCAGUUAAAACUCCGUUAAGUUCUGCUGAAAUUCCCCGACGAACAGAGGUGGAGAUGCUAGCACACGAAAUAGAAAUGAGGCAGUUUCCGAUCGCGUCUUGUUCUACCUGUGAAGCUGUAGAAAGAGUGUUUAAAUGCUACACCACGAAAUUAACUCUGAAACUGUUACUACUAGUUGCUACCAGUAAGAAAUUCACACACCUGAAAGCUAUCUUUUAACGGCUAAAGUAUGCAUAGUGAUCACCAAGACAAAUGAAGGUGGUAAAGAUAAGUUUUAGAGCGUGACGGACACGAGGACUUUCAUGGCGCGGACACCAAUGUGACAGUGUUCCGUGGCAUAUGAGUUGCUGUGUAACUGACAGUUUGAUAUAACAACAACAAAGCCUUUUUCCACUAAA